CUCGACUCCUCCGUCGCUGCGUCUCCUCCUCCCUCCGGCCGUGGGCGCCUCCGUGCUCCGUCCACGGAAGGACAGGCCCCGCCCCGACUCCCUCGGCGAAGAAGCCCCCGCGGCCGGCCGAUCUCCGUGGACUCCGCAGGAGCGGCCCCGCCCCUCACACUAUGCCGGGCGGUUCCCUCUGAGCCCCGCCGGGACAGCGUCUACGCUGCACACACCACAGAGAAGCCAGAGAACGGUGCCUGCACCGGACACAGCACAACACCAGCACAGGACAGCGUCCACACCACACACACCACAAGUGAGCCUAGGGAGCUGUGUCUACACUGCAGACGUCGGCCUGAGCACACACGUCUUCGUGCAGGCCCAGCAGAGGGGGAAAAACACCUCCCCGAGGGUGGAAGAGUUGUGGCCAGCAGACAGAUGGACGGACAGACGGACACAGGCGAACAGGCAGCCCAGGGGUGAGCUGAGCCGGUCAAAUGGGCCAGGACCCGGCUCCGUGUGUCCUUCACAGUCAGGAUGACAGAACCCCAUGGAAUAUGAAAAAUGCCGGGAGACAGACCCCGGAGGCACAGCCCCUCACCGGGCAGGGAGGCCGCCAGAGGGAAGCGCAGCUCCAGGUUGUCAGCCGGGUCCCCUCUCGGCUCCUGAAGGCUGCCGGCAUCUUCCUCUCAAGGGCCCUUCCCAUCUUCCAACCGGAAACAGCAUGGCCGGUUCUCCUGGCUCUGAGGCGCUAGUGAGUAGGCGAGGCCACCCCGAUGACCCCCCUUUUGAGUUAAACUGAG
rnacentral:lncRNA from 1 species